AUCGGGCUGACGAGUCCCAAAUAGGACAAAUCGUGCGUCCUGGAU
rfam:Schistosoma mattheei strain Denwood, Zambia genome assembly, scaffold: SMTD_scaffold0000230